UACGUAGGGUGCGAGCGUUAAUCGGAAUUACUGGGCGUAAAGCGUGCGUAGGUGGUUCGUUGUGUCUGUGGUGAAAGCCCCGGGCUUAACCUGGGAAUGGCCAUGGAAACUGGCGAGCUGGAGUGUGGCAGAGGGGGGUGGAAUUCCGCGUGUAGCAGUGAAAUGCGUAGAGAUGCGGAGGAACACCGAUGGCGAAGGCAGCCCCCUGGGCUAACACUGACGCUCAUGCACGAAAGCGUGGGGAGCAAACAGG
rnacentral:rRNA from 1 species